GACAAACAUUGCUCAGGAGGUUACUUUCAGCAAACUGUCUUUGCCUGACGUGUACUUCUCUACAAGAAAAUCAACUACCAGAUGUGUCCGUGAAAAACUAGACUGGUUUUACCUGUUCUGACAAGGAAGCAACCAUAACCAGUCAUGGAUUUACUUAAGAGGGAGAAGAACACUGUUGAAGGAAAGAGAAAGAUAGAAAUACAAGCACAUGUGGGAUAUGAACAUUGCAUAAACUGUGCAAAAAAAAAAAAAAAAAGACAGAAUCAUCACAGAAUCAUCAUAGAUAACAACAACAGAAUAACAACCUCCAGUGUUAUUCAUUCUGAAAGUAAUUGAAAAGACUCUUCAAUUAACUAUGAUCUCUGUUAACAACCUACUGCAAAACUGUUAUCUCGUAAAGAUGACUUUUUUAUUGAAUCUAGUACUUUAUCUGGUAGCAGAAUUCACUGUUUAUCUACAAUGCAUAAAGCUGCAAAUCUUAUAUGCAUGUAAGUUCCGUGUGUAAGAAAGAAAAGAAGAAAAGCAUCUAUGGAAAUUCUAGAGAGACAAAAGUUAAUAAUUUUCUUUCAAUUGGGUGUAAGUGAUGCAGAAUUCAGUCCAGACUUUGGGAAAAGAAAAAAAAAAAAAAAAAUAGUGAGAGUAUCAUGCUUACUGUGAUUUUCAGAUAAAGUAAUCCUAAAGCAUUUCUCAAAGGUAUAGAUUAAAUGCUCAUUAUGUAAAUGUACUUACUCACCAAUCUGUUCUUUGUUCAUCUAGAUAAAGUAGUACACUGUUUCCAUGUCAAGCAACUGCUGAUUACAAAUAAAUAAUUCAGCACUGAGAGAUGCUGUCCAUAGUGCAUGAAAAACGGAAACAAAUUGAAAAGGAAUGUCAAUAAAUUGACAAUAUUAAAUUUCAAUCAAUUUGGUCUGAUUGGAUAAUUUAAGCUUGCAGCUGCUGUGAGAUCAGAAAGGGAAGGGAAAUGUCAAUAAUUCUAAAGUGUGCUAACAUUUGACUUUUUACAAUUGUGUGUAAACCUCUAAAAUGAGACAACAAAGUUUCCUAUUGAGGCAGAAAAUGAAAUACCACUUCUAUGACGUCGUAAUGAUAGUAUCAUUGUUAGGCUUAAUAAUGAAGUGACAGAGGCC
ensembl:lncRNA